UGCUCCUGUGCUUUUUAACCGCAUGCUCUGCUCCGUGUGCUCACAUGCAUGAAGGCGGACAUCUGUGUUUGUGUGUUGGAUGAAUAUGAAACGUGAAAUACGUCCAUUGCGACAUGCAACGCAGCGCUGCAUGGUUACGUGCAAUGUUUUACAUGUCACAUGUUCCCUUUUUUCUGUUUUUGUUUUUAAUGAUGAACCUUUCUGAGCAGGAACAGGUUGAUCUGAAGUUUUGCGUAUUGAAGAAACACUGAGCAAGCAGUGAGGAAAACGUCUCCAGCGCGCAUAGUCUCGUCCUUUAGGCUGAGUCUGUGUCUGUUUGUGUGUGUGUGUGUGUGUGUGUGUGGCUGUCCACAGAGGAUGAAAGCUGAUAGGACCUUUCUAGCACACAGUGAGGACUCCCUGUUACAUGGGGUUCAGACCACCACUGAGGCAUAACAGCAGCAUGGUAGGAAGAAAGGGACGAGUGUAUAUAGCAGCAGUACUCAGACGUGUGGUUUGUGAUGUCACACCCAGGGUGGGAAGCAAUUGUUCAACAGAUAAGCAAAAGUGGAUCCAUGUUACAUGUAUAACUAUGGAAAACAUUAAGAAAUGGGCAAAACAGUUGGUACUUGACUCAUUGACUCAAGCUUUAACUUCCCUUUGAUUUCUAUUAUACAAAUUGUCCCAAAAAAUAUCCGUCCGUACAGGAUUUCAGUGAUUUUUGCGGUGGCUUUUAAAAAAAAAAUUGUGAUGCAAUUUUUUGCUUAUUAUUUUUUUGUAGCAAAUGACUUGAAUUGUUGAAAUUGCAAUCGCAUGAAAUUGUUUCGCACGGUCUUUCGCAGUGAUGUCUGUUGGUGAAUGAGACCGUUUAGCUGUACUCGUUCAAACACACGUGACUCGAAGAUGGCUUUGGUUGAAGGCGCGUUGUGAUGUCACGUGAUGCGUCUCGGCCCAAAUCUGCGGUGAUUUCGAAAAAUCGCAAAAAAGUUUGCAUUAACCUCUGUGCUCGCAAAAUCGCGAAAUCCUGGAGGGACUGUUUAAUGACCGCACUUCAUUUAUUUCACCCCAUCAGCAGAAAACAAACUCGCAGCGAAUGUUUUUCAAAAAAUAUAUUUCAUUGUGAUGAUUUCGAAGUGCUCAUUAUCGGCGGGGAGUUCUUUACGGAAUUCACCUGAAAAGCGCGCCACUCUUCUUAAUUCAUCUCCGUCACAUUUCCUCUAAACAGACCUAGCACUGAUUUGUGGUAAUCCUUCAAAAACAUUUCAUCGCCUGUUUUGCGUUGCAUUAUUCACUUCCGGGGCCAUGAAAUCGUGCACGUUUUAGUCAGUCUCUUCAUAUAA
ensembl:lncRNA